UUAUCCUCGAGCGAUUGCAGCUAUUGUCUACGACAGGCAGCAAGUGCUUAUAAUAACUGUUGCCAUGGGAAGCAAGGAGGUUAUGUUACGAAGCCUAGUUGUACACUCCGAUGGGAUUUGUACCCAUUCUAUACUCCUAUAGCUGAACCUCCAACACCAUCUCCUCCACCUCUACUUAGUAUUUCUCCCCCUUCAAUCAAUAAUACAAUGAAAGGUAGCUAUUGUUAAUUAGUUCACUUUCAUUUUGUGUUAAGCAUAUCUAUCUUAUUUUUUCUUUUAUUUGGACUUUUGUCCAUUAAUUUGUUGUUAAUUUUUCUAAAUUAGCCAUAAUUUAAUGGGAUCAGACUGGCUUUUGCAGGGGAGAAGAGCAAUGAAGCACGUACGAUUGCUAUCAUAGUUGUUCCAAUAAUUGUCGGCACUGUAAUUCUUGUCAUCUGUUUCUGCAUCUUUUUAAGAGUUCGGAAGCCAAGGGAAAGUUUUGAAAGUAAGUAAAUAUUGGCUUACUUAAAUUCCAUUAUUAUUUUCAAAACCUGUGAUAGAAAAGCCAUUGAGAUGUUGUGCACUAACCAUUGGCUUUGCACCUCUCAUAAAGCUGAUGAAAUAAAAAAUGUGGAGUCAUUGCAAUUCGAUUUUGGGACUAUUAGAGUUGCAACAAAUAACUUUUCUGAAGAAAAUAAGCUUGGACAAGGUGGAUUUGGUGCUGUUUACAAGGGCACGCUUUCUGAUGGACGAGACAUAGCAGUGAAAAGGCUUUCUAAAGAUUCAGGACAAGGAGAUUUGGAAUUUAAAAAUGAAGUUCUACUGGUGGCCAAGCUUCAACACCGGAAUUUGGUUAGGCUUUUGGGAUUUUGCUUGGAAGGAAAAGAAAGGCUCCUUAUAUAUGAGUUUGUGCCUAACACCAGCCUCGAUCAUUUCCUUUUUAGUAAGGAUGCAAAUCUACUUUGUUUUUGUUUUAACUUAAUAUUUCAGAUAACAUAGUUUGAAAAAAUUGAGAUAAUUGUAUGAAUGUAUAGAUCAAAACAGGCGGCAAAUGCAUUUGGAUUGGCAUAGGCGUUAUAAGAUCAUUGGUGGUAUUGCUAAAGGACUUCUUUACCUUCACGAGGAUUCUCGGUUACGGAUAAUUCACCGUGACAUGAAAGCGAGCAAUAUUUUGCUAGAUGCAGAGAUGAACCCGAAAAUUGCAGAUUUUGGCAUGGCAAGAUUGUUUGCGGUGGAUCAAACUCAAGGCAAUACAAGUAGAAUUGUGGGUACCCAGUAAGUAUCUAAACAACACAAAAAAUAAUGAUAAUAAUAAAUAAAUAAAACAUCGUUCAAUACAUAUUUAAAAUCUAAACUUAUGUAAAUUUGUAUACAGUGGCUAUAUGGCUCCAGAGUAUGCAAUGCAUGGUCAAUUCUCAGUUAAAUCAGACGUAUUUAGCUUUGGUGUGCUGCUUUUAGAGAUUGUAUGCGGUCAAAAGAAUAGUAACUUCCGUAAUGGGGAGAAUGUAGAAGAUAUUUUGAGCUAUGUAAGUAUAUAAUUCUGUGAUCCAACGGACGGUCUCUUCAAUCGUCCUAAAUGAAACCUUAAUUGAUAAACCUUACAUGCAGGCAUGGAAAAACUGGAGGGAAGGGACAUACAUGAAUCUUAUAGAUCCUAUACUGAGAACAUCUGGCUCGACAAAUGAAAUGAUGAGGUGCAUCCACAUUGGAUUACUGUGCGUUCAAGAAAAUGUGGCUGAUAGGCCAAACAUGGCAUCAGUAGUUCUGAUGCUAAGCAGCUAUUCUCUUACUCUACCUGUACCCUCAAAACCAGCAUUUUUUAUGCACAGCAGCACUCAAUCAGAUGUGUCUUCUUCACUGGGGUGUAGCUCCAGGGCGUCAGAAACAGAGUCCUCACAAUUUAAAAUUGGAACUCUUCCAUUAUCAGUGAAUGAAGUUUCAAUUACUGAAUUGUUUCCUCGUUAAAGAUUUGAUAAAGUUCAUAUUUUUAGUUUGUCAUUUGUUGCGUGUGUAUUAUUGAUUUCCAGUUUGAAUUCUGAUAAUAUUAACUUCUGUUUGCGUCAACAGUAAUCCACUGCUUUCCUCUAAUAAUACGUAUUUGACUAGUCCAUUAUAAUUUAUUUAGUAAUUGUAAUUUGGUUUCUUUUGGAAAAUAAAAUUCAAAGCUGUCGUGUUGUAUGAAACUCCAGUCAAAUAAAUGGACAAAAAAAAAUGAAAGUUAGCGGGUUUCCGCCGCAGAGACGUGGGAGGCUUGUCCUGACCACUUCUGUCACCAUCAAUAUUUUAAUACACUAUUAUCUUAUGUGUAUUGAAAAAAAUGUUAUUUUUUUUUUAUUGGACAUAUUAGUUAAGUAUUAUACACUUUGACUCUCCGAGUCGAUUAACGGGACAAUAUUCUUAAAGGAACAUAAGAAAAAUAGUGAUAAUGUUAAUUAUUUAUUUGGUUUUUUUGUAUGAAGAUAAGUAAUUUUUCUAAUAAAAUAUCAUUUCUUAUUGCCUUUAUAUAUACGGAUUGGAUAGUCUUUGACAUAGCUGGGGCGAGCUACAUGCCGGUUAAUUCCCCAGUGGUCCAAAUAAUUUUGUUGGGAAACGGACUGAAAUUGUAAAACGUAAACCCAUGUGAUUCUAAACGGGCUUUUGUAUCCCAAAUACCCAUGACCCAGAAAAUUUUAAUCAUUUAAGCAGACACGAUAUAAUGUUUGACUGCAGAGAAAUUUCGAAUGAAACGGCAUCGUAGCUGGAUUGACAUCAGAAAAACAAAAAGAACUAUUAAAUUCAAAAGUAAACGACCCGGUCAAGAGUUGCUAAACCUACAAUAUAUUCAUAACUAGCGCCAGUUCUAGCCCUCCAUUGAUGCUAAUUAAAAAUGAUAAGAAACUUCCAUUUGUCCAAGCAUAGGAUAGUUUUUAUUUUCUUGCAAGCCUACAAGCAUAUUCUCAGCUCUUACAAGCUCAAUCAAUUGUCAAGCACCUUACAAUACCCAUAUCUGUCAAGGUGCAGGUAAUGACACUGCAAGUGCCAAUUUCAAAUCAGAACUAAUUGCCCUUUUCAAUUCUCUAUCUUCUAAGUAAUAAAGGAUAAAUAUUAGAAUCAUAUUCUUUUGUAUCUGUAUCAGAUUUUGCUACUUUGAUUUCUGCAAAUAUUUGCAUUCCUGUAAAUCCUCUAAAUCUGUUGAGAUAUUCUUGGAAAGUGGUUGAGUAUUUAUCUAUAUAAACUCACUCCUUAUGUGAAUAACAUACACAAAAACUUUUCUCAUCUAUUAUUCUUCUUAUGGUAUCAGAGCAUUAAGCUCAUACGAGCCCAUUUUUUUUUCACUUCCUGCUUCUCUUCUACUGCCAUGGCUGACAACACUCCCGUUGUUAAUGCUGAUCACACAGCUACUUUAGCUAUAAUUGUCCAAUUCAACCCAGCCACUCAACUACCCAUAAAACUUCUUGGCAGUCAUAAUUUUGCCACAUGGAAAGCUCAAAUCUCCAUGCUUUUACAUGGCCAUAACCUUUUUGGUCAUCUUGAUGGUUCAUUGCCAGCUCCUCCUACCACAGUUACCAUAACAAAUCAACCCGCCCCAAAUCCUGCAUACGGACCAUGGUUUCGUCAAGAUCAGCUCAUCCAAAAUGCUCUGUUAGCGUCAGUAGAUCCAACUCUUGCCUCUACUGUUGCUGCAGCACCCUCAUCACACGAAGCUUGGCAAUCUCUCCAUACUGCGUUUGCCAACAAAUCUCAGACUAGAAUUUUUAGUCUUCGAGAUCAACUAGCUCGCAUCAACAAAGAUUCACGACCUGUCACUGAUUAUUUACGUGAUGUACGCUCUCUUUCUGAUGAAGUUGCCAUUGCUGGAGCCCCAGUUAGCAACGAAGAACUCAUUGUUAAGAUCCUUCAUGGUCUUGGUCCUGAAUUUCGAGAAAUUUCUGCUGCUAUUAGAUCCAGAGACACAGUUGUCACUUAUGAAGAGCUAUAUGAAAAAUUACUUGAUCAUGAGUUGUUCAUCCAGCAUGAGGAAUCUAAGAAGUUGCCAUCGAUUACUGCUGCAAUAGCUCACAGAAACAAUCAACCUUCUCGCAACAACCAUAACAAUCGACGACCGGGAAAUACUUACCCCUCGCAUACCCAGCAAUGGCCAUCUCCAUCCAGCCACGAAACACAAAACAAUCCCAGAUGGCGCUCUAGAAGAAACCAACAGCAACAAUUUUCAAAUAAUGGGAUUCAAUGCCAAUUAUGUGAGCGUUUCGGUCACUCUGCAAAAGUUUGUCGUUCUCAGUCUCACAAUCACCUCCAAGCUCGAGCUAACUUUGCGAGCCGUCAGUCUCACCAUUCUGAACCAUGGGUUGUUGAUUCUAGAGCUAAUCACCUCAUCACUUCCGAUGCUUAAAACUUAGAACCUGUUCAUGGCUACCAUGGACCAACAAAAAUCUCAAUGGGCAAUGGUAAUACCAUUCCAAUUUCUCAUACCGGUAACACACAUUUAUGUGCAUCAACUUAUAAUUUCAAACUAUUAAAUACAUUAUGUGCUCCUGACAUUAAAAGUAACCUUAUAUCUGUAUCUCAAUUUUGUCAAGACAAUAAAACCUCUAUUGAAUUUUUUUCCUUCUCAUUUCUUUGUGAAGGAUCUGAAUACGAGGGUGCCUCUACUACGCGGGCGGAAUAGAGAUGGACUUUAUGAAUGGCCGGUGAGCCUUACACGCAAAUUUCCUCAAUCCAAUUUGGCUUGUCGACGUCUUCCUCUUAACCCGUGGCAUCGACCUUUAGGACAUCCUAAUCGUCCCGUUCUAAAUAAAUUGCUGCAUAAAUUUUCUAUUCCCUUUUGUGAUUCAAAGACUUUUUCACUUUGUAAUUCGUGUUGCUCUUCAAAGAUGCAUAGGUUGCCUUUUUUUGAAAAUUCCUUACAAAGUCAUAAGCCUAUGCAAAUAAUCUACAGUGAUUCAUGGGGCCCUUCUCCAGUGCUUUCUAUUGAUAAAAAACGUUAUUAUGUUUUGUUUGUUGAUCACUUCUCAAAAUACAUGUGGUUGUACACUAUCAAAGCAAAACAUGAAGUUCAAGGGGUUUUUAAAAUUCUACACCCCUUACUUGAACGACAUUUUCAAACUAAAAUUCUUUCUGUUUAUACAGAUGGUGGUGGUGAAUUUGAUGGACUAUCUAUUUAUUUUAAGACACAUGGUAUUGAACAUUUAAUUUCUCCACCUUACACACCUCAACGCGUAUCCGUAGUUGAGCGUCGACACAGACAUGUUAUUGAAACUGCUAAAACUUUAUUGCAUCAAGCAUCUUUACCCUCUACUUUUUGGAGCUUUGCGUGUCAUCAAGCUGUUUACCUUAUUAAUAGGUUACCCUCACCAACUCUAUAGGACAAUUGUCCAUAUGGACUUUUGUUCAAUGAUGCACCAAAGUUUGAGUCUGUAAAAAUAUUUGGUUGCUUAUGCUAUCCACGGCUUAGGCCAUAUACCAAAAAUAAACUUGAGCCACGUUCAACACCAUGUGUUUAUUUAGGAUUCUCUAACAAAUAUUAUUGCCAUCAAUGUUUUGAUCCUGUUUCUUCAAAAAUAUUUCUAUCCAGGGAUGUAUUAUUUUUUGAAGAUAAUUAUCCUUUUCAAAAUAUCUUUGGUCAUCUUAAAAAUCAUUCUCAGCAUAUUUCUUGGGAACUCACCGUCGAUAACCACAGUCAUAAGGAUUCCUCCUCCACAUCCAAUCCUUGUUUAGAACUUCCACCUCCUGCUAGGUGUUUGCCGCUCGCUUCACAAAGUUCCGUCUCUACCGAACCAGAGAGAGACCUCUCGUUUCAGGUAAUUCUACUUCUUUAUCAUCUCCUGCUUCUUCUACUACUUCUUCUACAUUGGUCCUUACCAUGACUUCUACAACUCCCACCACCACUGACCGAUACAACCUCCUACGACUUCCAGCCACCCCAUGGUUACCCACUCCAAAAAUAACAUACAUAAACCUAAACAAAUAAUCAACCUUCUUGCUACGACCUCUCUUCCACGUUCCUACAAACAAGCUAAACUCCAACCCCAUUGGAACCAAGCCAUGAAAUUAGAGUUUGAUGCACUUGUGAGGAACCAGACUUGGGAUUUAGUGCCUCCUGAUGCUUCUAAAAAUGUGGUUGAUUGUAAGUGGCUAUUUCGUGUUAAGCAUCACCCUGAUGGUUCAAUUGAUAGGUAUUUAUGUUCUUGUUUAUGUGGAUGACAUAAUUGUUACUGGUAGUCACAUGAGUGGUAUUCGGCAUGUUAUCCAUGGUCUCUCCACUCGGUUCUCUCUCAAAGACCUUGGUGCUCUUCAUUAUUUCUUGGGUGUUGAGGUUAUUCCACAUUCUGAUGGAUUGUUCUUAUCUCAACAAAAAUAUAUUAUCGAUCUGUUACAGGAUGUUAAUAUACAAGACAGUAAAGGAGUUCCUACACCAAUGUCUUCUUCCACUGUGUUUGGUAUUUCACCCGAUGACCCUCUUGUUGAUGGUUCUUAUUAUCGCAGAGUUGUAGGAAAAUUACAAUAUUUAUCCUUUACUCGGCCGGACAUCGCCUUCGCGGUCGAUAAACUUUCUCAAUUCAUGCACUGCCCCAAAGAAACUCACUGGAAGGCUGUCAAACGCCUCAUUCGGUAUCUCAAACACACCUCCUCAAUUGGUCUUCAGAUUUUUCAUCACCAUGAUAAUCGAUUACUUGUGUACUCUGACUCUGAUUGGGCCGGUGAUCCGAUUGAUCGAACCUCUACUACUAGUUAUGUUGUUUAUUUUGGUGGCACUCCAAUCUCUUGGUCCUCAAAGAAACAACGAUCUGUCUCUCGCUCUUCUACUGAGGCUGAAUACCGAGCUGUUGCGGGUGCACUUGCUGAAACUAAUUGGCUUACCAAUCUUUUACAUGAACUUCGUGUUUCUCUAUCUGCCAUUCCACGGAUUUUUUGUGAUAAUGUGGGUGCCACCUAUCUUUGUGCGAACCCUAUCUUUCAUAGUCGUAUGAAGCAUGUUGCCAUCGAUUUUCAUUUCGUGCGUGAUCAGGUACAAAACAAAGAGAUAGAGGUCAAGCACUUACAUUCUGCUGAUCAGGUAGCUGAUAUCCUCACUAAACCUCUCCCACGUUCCACCUUCAAUCGCAUGUUUACCAAGUUGGCACUUCUUGAUAUCACCACCAACUUGCGGGGGCAUAAUAAAGGAUAAACAUUAGAAUCAUAUUCUUUUGUAUCUGUAUCAGAUUUUGCUAUUUUGAUUUCUGCAAAUAUUUGUAUUCCUGUAAAUCCUCUAAAUCUGUUGAGAUAUUCAUGGAAAGUGGUUGAGUAUUUACCUAUAUAAACCCACUACUUAUGUGAAUAACAUACACAAAAACUUUUCUCAUCUAUUAUUCUUCUUACUAAGGCCACGCUCAACACCUUCUACAAUGAUUCAUCAAAUGGAGUUUACAGCCUCUACUUAUGCAGCGGCGAUGUUUCAAAUACCGCCUGUAAACUCUGUAUUGAUGCUGCUAUUCAAGGAAUCCAACAGCGCUGCGCCUCCAAUAAAUCUGCAAUCAUAUGGUAUGAUCAGUGUAUGUUACGUUACUCUAAUACCAACUUCUUAGGGGUGGCAGAGACUUUCCCAAGGUUGCUCAUGUGGAAUGUCCAAAACACUACCUCACCUGAGGAACCAAACUAUGGGGCACUGGCACUAAUUUACACGUUAAUAGAUUACGUUCCAUCGUCAAAGAUAAUGUUUGGGACAAAUGAAUCAGCAACUGCUAAUGGGUCACAGAAAAGAUAUGCUUUGGUGCAGUGCACUAGAGAUAUUAAUAGCAGUGCUUGUAGUUCGUGUCUGGGGCAAUUGAGUGAUGCUGACAAAGAUUGUUGCCAAGCAAAGAUUGGUUGGCGUAUUUUAGCCCCAAGCUGCAAUUUAAGGUAUGAGGAGAGACCAUUCUAUCAACCACCAACACCAAGACCAGUGCCCGCAGCUCCAGAGCCGGUGCCUGAUAAUGGUGAGUCAAAUAUGAAUAUUUGGUUGAAGAAAUUAGACGCUGACAUGAAUCCAAAAAUCUCAGAUUUUGGCAUCGUAAGAUUGUUUGUAAUGGAUCAAACUCAAGGCAACACAAGUAGAAUUGUUGGAACCUAGUAAGUAUUAUAUAUAUUUUUAAUUAUAGCCAAUUGAAAAUAAUCUAGGCAUGUCAAUAUAAAUGUUUUUGGUGUACAGUGGCUAUAUGGCUCCAGAGUAUGCAAUGCACGAGCAAUUUUCAGUCAAAUCAGACUUAUUUAGCUUCGGUGUUCUAAUUUUGGAGAUUUUGAGUGGUCAAAGAAAUAAUGGUUUCCGCAAUGGAGAGAACAUAGAGGAUCUUUUGAGCUAUGUAAGUAAAUUUAAGUUUUACGUAUCUAUUCAACAAAAUAUUGAAAGUACUGCCCCUUUCCUUAACUAAGAACCUGUAUAAAUUCUGCAGGCAUGGAGAAAUUUUAGGGAAGGCACAUCUAUGAAUCUUAUAGACCCAACUUUGAGGAGUGGUUCAAGAACUGAAAUGAUGAGAUGUGUCCAUAUUGGAUUACUAUGUGUUCAGGAAAAUGUAGUUGAUAGGCCAAACAUGGCUUCAGUUGUUCUUAUGCUAAAUAGCUAUUCUACUACUUUACCUUUACCUUCAGAGCUUGCAUUUUUUAUGCACGGCAGCACUCAAUCAGAUGUGUCUUCUUCAGCAAGCUACUAUUCAAAAAUGACAGAAUCCUCGCAUUCGAAAAUUGAAACUCUUCCAUUGUCUAGAAAUGACUCAUCAGCUAUUACGAAUUUAUAUCCUCUGUAGGAAAUUAUUUUUGAAAACAAAUUUUGGUUGUUGUAUUUAUAUUGAUUAUUUCAAAUAUUUUGUAGCUAUUUUACGUUUGUGUGUAAUUUUGACGAUUUAUUCAAAGAUUCAAAAAAUAGACAUAUUGUGUACCGAUAGAGAUAUAUAGAUCAAACUAAAUAAAUAAUAGAAUUUUUAUUGAAACGAAAAUAUUUCUGACUAAACACCGGAAAAAAAUAAUGAAGUAGAAACAAUUUUUUUAACCAAAAUUUUUAAUUUAAUCAAUUAGGCAGUUAUAUAUGUCUAAUUCCUUUGUAAUGAUAAUGAAUAUUAAUAAUUUCUCUCUCUUUCUUUUACUUUCAAAAAUAUUAAUAUUUUUUUAUGAUUAGUUGAAUAAUUAAUUUUGGCCAAUAGGCAGUUCGGCUUUUUUCUUUUGGAAAUGAUAACCAAGUCAACGGUGAAAUUAUGACUUUUUUGUUCUGGUGGACCAAGUAGUAGUUUUAUUAAAUUGGGCCUGGGCCCUAUAGAAGGAUUAGGGAAGAGUGCAUACAUGGGCUAUAAGGAAAGACAAUCUAAAGUGGGCAGUGUAGUGAUUACAAUUCACAAGCGUAAUAAAGUCAACAAAAUAAUGUGUUAAUGGGAAUUUAACAAUCGAUUCAGUUAAAUUUUGGGUCUUCCUUUUCCACAUUCUGCAAUAUCUCAUCUCAACUGCUCAAGAAUCAAAAUCGCGAAUAGCAUAAUCAUGCGCUGUAUAGAAUUUGUUUGUCUUAUUUUCUAUCUCCUCAUUGGCAUAAACCUUGCCGAUGCUCUUUUGAAAUGUUACGACACAGGAAACUUCACAGCCAACAGUACAUACGCCAAUAAUCGAGCUCUCAUCCUUUCUUCUUUAGCUUCAAACGUCACAGCAAAUGGAGGUUUCUACACCACAACAGUAGGCCAAGGAACAAACAAAAUUUAUGGUCUGGUGCUUUGCAGAUAUGACUAUUCACAAGAAGCUUGCUUCAAAUGUGUCGACGAUUCAAUUGAAAAGCUGACCACAACAUGUCCUCACCAGAAAGAAGCAGUGAUAUGGACUGGGAAUGCUUGUAAAAUACACUACGCGAAUCGCUCAUUUUUGGGACAGCUGGAGGUAGAUCCUUCCGAGACUGGCUAUAAUAUCGCUGACCUCCCAUCUAGUAUUAAUAUGUCUGAGUUUGAUCAGACUUGGACUAGUUUGAUGGAAAGCUUAGCAACGAAAGCUUCUAUGUCCAAUUCUACGCUUAAGACUGCGACAGGAGAAUCAGACGUCCGAUCCUUUCCAAGAAUAUAUGCAGCAAUGCAGUGUAGCCCUGAUUUAUCCCAGAGCAAUUGCAGCUAUUGUCUACGACAGGCACCAAGUGCUUAUAAUAAGUGUUGCCAUGGGAAGCAAGGAGGUUAUGUUAGGAAGCCUAGUUGUACAUUCAGAUGGGAUUUGUACUCAUUCUAUGCUCCUGUUGCUGGACCUCCAACACCAUCUUCUCCAUCUAAUAUUUCUCCCCCUUUCAAUAAUACAAGAAAAGGUAACCGUGCUUUAGAAUCUGAAUUAUUAAUUACUUUACUCUUUCAGUUUGUUUUAAGAAUAGGUAUCUGAUUUUCUUUUUUUUCUUCUUUUUUUUUUUUUUUUUUUUUUUAUAAAUUAGCCAUAACCUAAUGGGAUCAGACCGGCUAUUCGCAGGAGAGAAGAGCAAUAAACCACGGAGGAUUGCUAUCAUAGUUGUUCCAAUAAUUGUUGGUACUGUUUUCAUCUGUUUCUGCAUUUUUCUAAGAGUUGGUAAGCAAAAGGAAAAACUUGAAAGUAAGUAAAAAUUGGCUUACCUAAAUUCUAUUGUUAUUUUACAAGUCAAAUGCGAUAGUAAAGCCAGUUACUUUACUUUUAAAAAAAUUAAUAAAAAUAAAAAUUGAGAUGUCGGGCAUUAACCAUUGGCUUUGCACCUCUCAUGAAGCUCUUGAAGUGGAUGAAAUCAAAACGAUGGAGUCGUUGCAAUUCGAUUUCGGGACUAUUAGAGUUGCAACAAAUAACUUUUCUGAGGAUCAUAAGCUUGGACAAGGUGGAUUUGGUGCUGUUUACAAGGGUACGCUUUCUGAUGGACAAGAUAUAGCAGUGAAAAGGCUUUCUAAAGAUUCAGGACAAGGAGAUUUGGAAUUUAAAAAUGAAGUCCUACUGAUGGCCAAGCUUCAACACCGGAAUUUGGUUAGGCUUUUGGGAUUUUGCCUGGAAGGAAGAGAAAGGCUCCUUAUAUAUGAGUUUGUGCCUAACACCAGCCUCGAUCAUUUCCUUUUUAGUAAGGAUGCAAAUCUACUUUGUUUUUGUUUUAACUUAAUAUUUCAGAUAACAUAGUUUGAAAAAUUUGAGAUAAUUGUAUCAAUGUAUAGAUCAAAACAGGCGGAUAUUUCAUAUAACAUUGUUGGAGAAAUUUGAGAUAAUUGUAUGAAUGUAUAGAUCAAAACAAGCGGCGAACACAUUUGGAUUGGCAUAGGCGGUAUAAGAUCAUUGGUGGUAUUGCUAAAGGACUUCUUUACCUUCAUCAGGAUUCUCGGCUACGGAUUAUUCACCGUGAUUUGAAAGCAAGUAAUAUUUUGUUAGAUGCAGAAAUGAAUCCGAAAAUUUCAGACUUUGGAAUGGCAAGAAUGUUUAUGAUGGAUCAAACUCAAGGCAACACAAGUAGAAUUGUGGGAACCUAGUAAGUAUCCAAACAGAGUGAGAAAAAAGAAAAUUUUAAAAAAAAAAAAACUAAACUUAUAAAUCAAUCAUUCAAUACAUGUUUAAAAUUUAAAAUUGUAUAAAUUUGUAUAGAGUGGCUAUAUGGCUCCAGAGUAUGCAAUGCAUGGUCGAUUCUCAGGCAAAUCAGACGUAUUUAGCUUCGGUGUACUGCUUUUAGAAAUUGUAUGUGGUCAAAAGACUAGUUGCUUCCGCAGUGGAGAAAAUACGAAAGAUCUUUUGAGUUAUGUAAGUAUAUCAGUCUUCAGUUAUCCUAAAUGAAAUUUUAAUUGAUAAAUCUUACAUGCAUGCAUGGAAAAAUUGGAGGGAAGGGACAUGCAUGAACCUUAUAGACCCUAUACUUAGGACAUCUAGGUCAACAAAUGAAAUGAUGAGGUGCAUCCACAUUGGAUUGUUGUGUGUUCAAGAAAAUGUGGCUGAUAGACCAAACAUGGCAUCAGUAGUUCUGAUGCUAAGCAGUUACUCUCUUACUCUACCUAUACCUUCACGACCGGCUUUUUUAAUGCUCAACAGCAUUGAAUCAGAUAUAUCAUCUUCACUGUGGUAUAAUUCCAAGGCAUCAAUGAAUGAUGUUUCAAUUACAGAAUUGGUUCCCCGUUAAAUGUUUGACAAGGUUCAUGUUUUAGUUUGUUAUGUGUUGUCUGUGUAUUAUUGAUUUUCAAUUUGAAUUUUGAUAUAUUUACUGUAAAAAAAUUACAGAAUUUGUGUGUCUGAUUUAUGAUAUAAAGUAGAAUUCGUAAUCCUUUUUAGUGAUUAACUGCAAUCACACACUCAAAUACGAAAUUUGAAUGUAUAAAAGAGGGAUUACAUUUUUCUCUCGGUCUCCUUAUCCACAAGGCAAUUAUUCAAUGAGAUUAGUCAAUAUUAAGAUUAAGAAAAUAGAUGGGAUCUACUUAUUUUUAUAGAAUUUUAUGGAUCUCCCCAUCACAAGUCCAUUAGGAUGUACAAACUCGUUUCACAUGUGAUCACAUAAACCCAAAUUAGACCCUAUAAACAUAUUUUUAAACUAUAUUUAUUCAGUCUAUUUUCGCAAAUUAAAAUAGUUUGACAAUUAAUAGUAGCUUACAUUAAAAUUUUUAACAUUUAACUUGUGUUUGCAUCAUCAGUAAUCCACGGCUUUGCUCUGAUAAUACCAAUAAUGCUUAUUAAAUCUCGUGAAUUUGACUAAAUUGUAAUUUAUUUAGAAUGGUCCGUCUUAUUCGAUUUAAUAAUUGUAGUUUUGUUUCUUUUUUUCUUAUCCCUUCGUAUUAGAAUAUUGUUUGGACAAUGCCUCUUUGAAGAUAAAAUUCAAAGUUGUCGUUUUGUAUCAUUGUAUGAAACUCCAGUCAAAUAAACGGACAAAAAAAAGAUGAUAGCGUGUUCCUGUCGCAUCAAUAUUUUAAUACACUGUUAUUAUAUUUGUACGUGUAAAAAAAAAUGUUAAUUAAUCUAUAAAUCUCUAAAUUUUGCAACUUCCUUGACAACGAAAUCUGAAUAUGUAAAAAAAAACUUUUAAAUUUAAUACCUAAUAAAUAUAUUUUUAAUGGGAAGCAAAAAUUUUAAUGGUGACUAAAUUUUCAGUCCAAUAAUUUGGAGAGUAAAAGAUAUGUUAUUAAAUUUUUAGUUUGUUAAAAGAAAAAGUAGUCUUAAUUUCAUUAAAAUAAAACAGUGAUAAUAUUAAUUAUUUAUUUGUUUUCUUGUCUGAAAAUAAAUAACUUUUCUAAUAAGAUAUUAUUGCCUUUACACAUACGGAUUGGAUAGGCUUUGACAUAACUGGGCCAAGCUUCAUGCCAGUUAAUUGCCCAGUGGUCCAAAUAAUUUAAUUGGGAGAAAUUAACGACGCAGCGGACUGAAAUUGUAAAACGUAAGCCCAUGUAUUCUGGACCGGCUUUUGUAUCCCAAAUACCCAUGACCUAGAAAUAGGAUGUGUCCCUAGCCACUGAACCGAUGGCACCGGCACCACCUGCAAUCACCACCAUCACUAUGGAAAUUGUCGCCGUAGGUGGCGAUGUAUCUCGCCAUAGCCAUUCUUUCCGUUUCUUCUACCGUCACCAACCGCUUUCUCCAUUUCCAUAAUCACCAAUUCUCCUGGGAUUUUAGCCAGCUCCAAAUUAGUUAAAUUUAGUUAAAGUUUUAGCUAAAAUUAAAGAAGUUUUGGCUAUAAUCCCUUUUGUGAGUAGAUGAAAUUAAUUUCAAAUUUUCAAUAUUAUUACCCAUUCUUUGAAGUCUAUUAUAUGGAUUAUUCGAGUCCCUUUCACAUUUAUAAUUAAGACCACUCAUAAAAGGCAAUACUUUCAAUACCUUCUCAUUCUUCUUCUUCUUAUUAUUAUUAUGUAGAGCCAGAGGAGAAAAGUAUUGAUUCUGAUGGGAGUGGAAAUACUUGCUUUUACUCUAUUUACUUUUUUCUUUUUUUUAUUUUUUUUUUAGGAAACCAUAACCAAGUCAAGUCGUCGCUUGAUCAAAGUGAGCCUGAGCCGUAUAGAAGGAUUAAGGAAGAGUGCAGAGAUUGGCUGUAAGGAAAGACAAUAUAAAGUAGUUAGUGCAGUGAAUACAAUUCACAAGCGUGAUAAAGUCAAUACAGUGAUAGGUUGGUGAUUGUUAAUGAGAAUUUAACAAUCCAUUCAGUUCAAUUUUGGGUUUGGGGCUUCUUUUCCACAUCCUGCAAUAUAAUUUUGGGUUUGGGGCUUCCUUUUCCACAUCCUGCAAUAUCCCAUCUCAACUCCUCAUGAAUCAAACUUGCGAAUAGUAUAACCAUGCGCUGUAUAGAUUUUGUUUGUCUUAUUUUCCAUCUUCUGAUUGGCAUCAACCUUGCCAAUGCUCUGUUGAAAUGUUAUAACACAGGAAACUUCACAGCCAAAGGUACAUACGCCAAUAACCGAGCUCUCAUCCUCUCUUCUUUAGCUUCAAACGUCACAGCGAAUGGAGGUUUCUACACCACUACUGUAGGCCAAGGGGCGGAUAAAAUUUAUGGUCUGGUGCUUUGCAGAUUUGACUCUUCAUCAGAAGAUUGUUCCAAAUGCGUCAAUGUUGCAAUUGAAGAUAUAACCACAAAAUGUCCUAACCAGAAAGAAGCACUGAGAUGGGAUGGGGAUCCUCCUUGCAGAAUACACUACGCGAAUCGCUCAUUUUUCGGACAGCCGGAGAUAGAACCCACCGAUGCUGGUUAUAAUACCGGUAACCUUCCGUCUAAUAUUAAUAUGUCUGAGUUUGAUCAGACUUGGACUAGUUUGAUGGCAAGCUUAGCAACGAAAGCUUCUAAGUCCAAUUCUACGCUUAAGACUGCGACAGAAGAAUCAGACGUCAAGCCCCUUGAAAGAAUAUUUGCACUAAUGCAGUGUACUCCUGAUUUAUCCUCGAGCGAUUGCAGCUAUUGUCUACAACAGGCAGCAGCUGCUUAUAGUAACUGUUGCCAUGGGAAGCAAGGAGGUUAUGUUACGAAGCCUCGUUGUACACUCCGAUGGGAUUUGUACCCAUUCUAUACUCCUAUAGCUGAACCUCCAACGCCAUCUCCUCAACCUCUACUUAGUAUUUCUCCCUCUUCAAUCAAUAAUACAAUGAAAGGUAGCUAUUGUUAA
rnacentral:lncRNA from 1 species